rnacentral:rRNA from 1 species
GAUGAACGCUGGCGGCGUGCCUAAUACAUGCAAGUCGAGCGAACAGAUCAGGAGCUUGCUCCUUUGACGUUAGCGGCGGACGGGUGAGUAACACGUGGGUAACCUACCUAUAAGACUGGAAUAACUCCGGGAAACCGGGGCUAAUGCCGGAUAACAUUUAGAACCGCAUGGUUCUAAAGUGAAAGAUGGUUUUGCUAUCACUUAUAGAUGGACCCGCGCCGUAUUAGCUAGUUGGUAAGGUAACGGCUUACCAAGGCAACGAUACGUAGCAGACCUGAGAGGGUGAGCGGCCACACUGGAACUGAGACACGGUCCAGACUCCUACGGGAGGCAGCAGUAGGGAAUCUUCCGCAAUGGGCGAAAGCCUGACGGAGCAACGCCGCGUGAGUGAUGAAGGUCUUCGGAUCGUAAAACUCUGUUAUUAGGGAAGAACAAAUGUGUAAGUAACUGUGCACGUCUUGACGGUACCUAAUCAGAAAGCCACGGCUAACUACGUG